rnacentral:rRNA from 1 species
CCUACGGGAGGCAGCAGUGAGGAAUAUUGGUCAAUGGACGCAAGUCUGAACCAGCCAUGCCGCGUGCAGGAAGACGGCUCUAUGAGUUGUAAACUGCUUUUGUACGAGGGUAAACGCAGAUACGCGUAUCUGUCUGAAAGUAACGUACGAAUAAGGAUCGGCUAACUCCGUGCCAGCAGCCGCGGUAAUACGGAGGAUUCAAGCGUUAUCCGGAUUUAUUGGGUUUAAAGGGUGCGUAGGCGGGCGGAUAAGUUAGAUGUGAAAUCCCGAGGCUCAACUUCGGAAUUGCCUUUGAUACGGUUAGGCUAGAGAGUAGUUGCGGUAGGCGGAAUGUAUGGUGUAGCGGUGAAAUGCUUAGAGAUCAUACAGAACACCGAUUGCGAAGGCAGCUUACCAAGCUACUUCUGACGUUGAGGCACGAAAGCGUGGGGAGCAAACAGGAUUAGAUACCCUUGUAGUC